AUACGAAAUUAUACAGUACAUAGCAUUAAUGAUUUAAUCUAUGAAAAAAAGCCGCAGUACUGGAGUAACUUGGAUACGCCUGGUGAUCAUGAUUGAAGCUACAGCAGUAGCAGCAGCGUGCGGACCCGUGGUGCGGAUAGGCCACAACAGCAACGACACACAGACCAGCACCACACGUAAGUCCGUACGAUGGAGAAGAUUUGCUAUCGGCACACUGGUUUAGUUUUUGGAAAGCCUUACGUGUGUCACGGCGUGCUGUACGACUUUGCAGCUAAUCGCAAUCCAUUGACGACACUCAGCCUGGUGUUGUGUAAACGGCUCAAAGAGUGGAUUUAUCUGAUCGACGCGCUUAAUGGUUCUGGUUGAUCAAAUCACCUUGGUACAGCGUCCACGGGAGACGUUUCUAUUGACAUUUGUCACCAGCAGUACGGCCGAGUUGCCUACCACUGCAAGGGCACACCGAUGGUUUGCUGACCCUGUCUUGCUGAUCGACAACUUUCUGACGACAUUGUGCUGAGUGAACUGAGUUCAGGAGUUUGAACUGGACAAGAGCGUUACUCGUCGUGAAGUAGACAAGAAAGAAAACGAAGAGAGCCUUCCUCUGGUGUCAGUAAUACAAGCCAGUCUAGGAGAGGAUAUUGGAAUGUAUUGCACCUACUACGGUGAUAAAGGCCGGUGUCACUGCAGUCCGGCGUCGAACCUGGUGUGGCGCUAUCAAGACCGCCUGCUCGAUAAAGACACUGCGGCGGUGCUGGGGCAUGUCUCCGUGAAAAAUCUUAGGAGCUGGAGCUAUUUCACUAUUCACAAUGUUACUAGUACGUCUUACGGAAAAGUCGAAUGUCUGCGCCUCUGUGGUAUCGACAGAUAUUGUUUGGUCCAGAGAUUUCUUAUUAGAGCACCAAGUUAGUUCCUACAUUCCUAGCGUACUGCCCAUAUUAUAUUUCGACAACAUAACUUUUUUAAAACUACCUUGUGCGAGAAUUAUUACAACAGCGAUUAAACCU